GAUAAACGCUGGCGGCGCACAUAAGACAUGCAAGUCGAACGGACUUAAUCGAAAUAUUUAUAUUUUGAAGCGGUUAGUGGCGGACUGGUGAGUAACGCGUAAGGAACCUGCCUAUUAGAGGGGAAUAACAGUGAGAAAUCAUUGCUAAUACCGCAUAUGCCAUAGAUAUCACAUGAUAACAGUGGGAAAGGAGCAAUCCGCUAAUAGAUGGCCUUGCGUCUGAUUAGAUAGUUGGUGGGGUAACGGCCUACCAAGUCGACGAUCAGUAGCCGGACUGAGAGGUUGAACGGCCACAUUGGGACUGAGAUACGGCCCAGACUCCUACGGGAGGCAGCAGUCGGGAAUAUUGCGCAAUGGAGGAAACUCUGACGCAGUGACGCCGCGUAUAGGAAGAAGGUUUUCGGAUUGUAAACUAUUGUCGUUAGGGAAGAGAAAGGACAGUACCUAAGGAGGAAGCUCCGGCUAACUACGUGCCAGCAGCCGCGGU
rnacentral:rRNA from 1 species